AUUGGUAUUCAGUUGUAUAAGCGUUGGCACAUCUCAUUUCAAUGGAGAAUAUUUGGCCUCGCCCCUCAGUCACAGUCUAAUGACUUUGAAACUUAUCUUAGUUUACAUGUAUUAGUUUGUGAUUAGAUCAGUUUAAGAUGAACUGCUAAUGUUUAGUCAAUAAUAUUUGGUAUGCAAAUUUAUUGGCAUUUGCAAGUAUUGUUUCCAUGGAGAUUAUAUAGCCCACCC
rnacentral:lncRNA from 1 species